rnacentral:rRNA from 1 species
UAUGACUCUCGGCAACGGAU